UCAGACGCACAGACCUGGUUUCCUGUUUGUCACCUGCCAACCUGCUGGUCGACUCACCAGAAAACACACAAAGUGACAAUGAGGAGGAUCGAGAUGGCCGCAGCCGAGGAGAAGCAGACGAUGAAGACCAUCACUGCACAAACACACAGGAGAAAGACAUCAGAUAGGGCGAGUGUACACUCACUGAGCUGUUUAUCUUCACUGGUGACCUCCACUUGAAUGAGGACUGAGGCCUUAUGGUGGUAGAAAGAGGCGUGGCAGGUGUAGAGGCCCGCAUCCUGCUCUGUGACCUUUGAUUGGAACAACAGAGCUCCGCCAUCCAUCUGGACCAAUGAGCCAUCAUUUCUUCAACACGCAGCAGGACACAGAAGUAUCUGGGAACAUGGACUGUCCUCCUCUCCUUAAGUCCAUGAUGAUUUUGAAAGAGGCAAGUCAGGUCCUGUCCCUCGUGGAGAGCC